rnacentral:pre_miRNA from 1 species
AAAAAGAGACAAACCUAGUUUCCGUGUCCAACGUUUGAUCGUCCGUUUUAUUUAAAAAAAUUAUGAAAAAAUUAAAAAGAUAAGUCACGCAUAAAGUAUUAAUUAUGUUUUAUCAUUUAACAACAAUGAAAAUACUAAUUAUAAAAAAAUUUCAUAUAAGACGGACAGUUAAACGUUGGCACGAAAAUUUAGGGUUUGCCUUUUU